UGUCGAUGAAGAGCGCAGCAAACUGUGUGAAUUCAUGUGAACUGCAUGCUCAUUUGAACAUCGACAUCUUGAACGCACAUUGCGGCCACGGGUUAGCCCGUGGCCACGUCUGUCCGAGGGUCGGUUUAUAAACUAUCACGACGCCCAAAAAGUCGUGGCUUGGGUCUUGCUAGC
rnacentral:rRNA from 1 species